CUACGUGCCAGCAGCCGCGGUAAUACGGAAGGUCCAGGCGUUAUCCGGAUUUAUUGGGUUUAAAGGGAGCGUAGGCUGGAGAUUAAGUGUGUUGUGAAAUGUAGACGCUCAACGUCUGAAUUGCAGCGCAUACUGGUUUCCUUGAGUACGCACAACGUUGGCGGAAUUCGUCGUGUAGCGGUGAAAUGCUUAGAUAUGACGAAGAACUCCGAUUGCGAAGGCAGCAUACGGGAGUGUAACUGACGCUUAAGCUCGAAGGUGCGGGUAUCGAACAGGAUUAGAUACCCUGGUAGUCCGCACAGUAAACGAUGGAUGCCCGCUGUUAGCGCCUGGCGUUAGCGGCUAAGCGAAAGCAUUAAGCAUCCCACCUGGGGAGUACGCCGGCAACGGUGAAACUCAAAGGAAUUGACGGGGGCCCGCACAAGCGGAGGAACAUGUGGUUUAAUUCGAUGAUACGCGAGGAACCUUACCCGGGCUUGAA
rnacentral:rRNA from 1 species